rnacentral:rRNA from 1 species
CUGCUGCCUUCCGUAGGAGUUUGGACCGUGUCUCAGUUCCAGUGUGGGGGACCUUCCUCUCAGAACCCCUACGCAUCGUCGCCACGGUGGGCCGUUACCCCGCCGUCUAGCUAAUGCGCCGCAUGCCCAUCCUCUUCCGAUGAAUCUUUCCUCGAUCUCGGAUGCCCGAAACCGAUAUACGCGGGAUUAGCCUCCCUUUCGGAAGGUUGUCCCCCUGAAGAGGGCAGGUUGCAUACGUGUUACUCACCCGUGCGCCGGUCGCCGGACG